UUGUUAGAACAACAAGAAAAAAAAAAAAUAUCACAAUAUAACAAUGGUCAUGUAAAUAUAAAAAAGGAUUAUAAUAUUGAUGAUAUAAAACAGGACAAAAAAUAUGACAGUGUAAGUGAAAAAAAAUAUGACAGUGUAAGUGAAAAAAAAUAUGACAAUGCAAGUGAAAAAAAAUAUGAAAAUGCAAGUGACAAAAAUCUGACCGAAGAAGAUAACAAGCAAAAUACAUAUAAAGGUUUAACUUACGCUAUCGAGAAAAUACAAAAUAAUAAAAAUAGUAUUAAUAAUACACUGUUAGUCCAAAAUAAUGAAAAUACAUUACUCUGCACAACAUCUAGUACUUAUACAAAUCUGGAACUUACCUCAAAGGAUAUACUGGAUAUUAAUGAAAGAAUAAAAAAAAAUAGCUGUAUUAAUAUUUUUGCAAAAAAUAAUUAUAUUACAUCUAACGAUUUUGAAUAUUAUAAUGCUUUGUAUUGGAUAAAGAAUCAAAUAAAUGAGGCAACUAUUCGUUUGUUGUUAAAUUAUAAAACGUACAAAGUUAAUAAAAUAAAAAAAGUAGAUAAUAAUAACACUGAUAAAGUAGAGACAAUAUCAAACCGUUUACAUACAAAUGUGCCUAAAAAUAAAAAUACAAGCUCUUUUUUUUUAUUAAGUAAUUAUACAUUUUUAUAUUUACCUGAUUCUAUUAAUUCUGAUGAUACAGUUAAAGUUGAUCUUUUAAAUGCUAAGGGCGAGGAACAAAACUCUAAUAAUUUUUUUAACAAUCGUGCUUUGCAAAAUAAAGCGACAGACAUUAAACAGGGUGGCACUGGUAAAGCGCGUGGCACUAAUAAAACAUCUAGCAAUGUAAAAGCAGGAGACAGUAUUGAACAAAAUAGCAGUGCCAAAAACGAAGACACAAAUUAUCAAAUUAUAAACCUUUACGCAACAGACACAAACAAACAUAACUACAUCUAUAAUAAACACAUUAACUACAAGAUAACAAAUUAUAUAAAUAAAAAUCAAUUAUUGUAUUUUUAUAUGAAGCUAAAAUUUAAUUAUAUGGAAUUUCUAGGAAUUAACAUAAUGAAAAAGAAAACUAGUAUAGAUGAUGUAAUAUAUAUGCAUAAAGAAAUAAAUAAAAUACUAAAUGAAUAUUUAUAUAUAUUUAAUAAGGAUAUAUUAUUAUUUAAUUAUAAAUUUUUAUAUAACCUUACUUACAAUAUAGAAUAUAUUUAUAAAACCUAUAAUGGAAAUAAUAAUUCGAAUGAUGACUAUCAUUACAUUCUUAAUAUUAUAAACAAUUUGGCAUAUAUUAUAUAUAUUGUUAUCCUUAAUUUGUAUAUUGGUAUUACUAAAAAUUUAUCAUGCUAUUGUAAUACUAUUUACCACGUACAUAUAAAUAAUUUUUUUUUCUUACUACUUCAGAAUAUGUUUUACUUAUUGCUUUUUGAAAGUAAAAGAAAACUAUAUCGACAAAUGCAGAAACAGAGAGAGCAACAACAUGGUCUCACACGAUAUGAUUCGGCACAAUUACGAAACCCAGUUGAACGUACACUCACUUAUUCGAAUACGACGAAUAUACUGCCUAACAUUUUAAAUUACACCAAAGGAACAAACGAAUAUACGAAUGAUAAAAAAACAAACAUUACCCUUGCAAUGAAUAAUAUAAAUAUAUUUUACUAUUAUAAGAACGUAAAAAAAUACAUAAAGGAGGCACAAAUAUGUAAUCAUAGAAAUAAUAUAAACAUGUG
rnacentral:lncRNA from 1 species